rnacentral:misc_RNA from 1 species
GAUGAAGAACGCAGCGAAAUGCGAUAAGUAAUGUGAAUUGCAGAAUCCAGUGAAUCAUCGAAUCUUUGAACGCGCAUUGCGCCCGCCAGCAUUCUGGCGGGCAUGCCUGUUCGAGCGUCAUUUCAACCCUCGACCUCCCCUUGGGGAGGUCGGCGUUGGGGACCGGCAGCACACCGCCGGCCCUGAAAUGGAGUGGCGGCCCGUCUGCGGCGACCUCUGCGUAGUAAUACAGCUCGCACCGGAACCCCGACGCGGCCACGCCGUAAAACACCCAACUUCUGAACGUUGACCUCGAAUCAGGUAGGACUACCCGCUGAACUUAAGCAUAUCAAUAAGCGGAGGA